UCUCCGUAGGUGAACCUGCGGAGGGAUCAUUACAGAGUUCAUGCCCUACCGGGUAGAUCUCCCACCCUAUGUUAUUAUUACUUUGUUGCUUUGGCGGGCCGUUAGGCUCCGGCCCGACUACCGGCCCCGGCUGGUAAGCGCCCGCCAGAGGACCCAAACCCUGAAUAUUAGUGUCGUCUGAGUACUAUAUAAUAGUUAAAACUUUCAACAACGGAUCUCUUGGUUCUG
rnacentral:misc_RNA from 1 species